rnacentral:misc_RNA from 1 species
GAUGAAGAACGUAGCGAAAUGCGAUAAGUAAUGUGAAUUGCAGAAUUCAGUGAAUCAUCGAAUCUUUGAACGCAUCUUGCGCUCCUUGGUAUUCCUUGGAGCAUGCCUGUUUGAGUAUCAUGAGCAAACCUCAAAGUCAAUUCCUUUUGUUAAUUCAAUUGGUUUUGCUUUGGACUUGGAGGUCUUGCAGAUUUCACAGUCUGCUCCUCUUAAAUGCAUUAGCUGGAUCUCAGUAAUUAUGCUUGGUUCCACUCGGCGUGAUAAGUAUCACUCGCUGAGGACACUGUUAAAAAGGUGGCCAGGAAAAUACUGAUUGAACCGCUUCUAACGGUCUAUUAAGUUAGACAAUUACCCUUCAGUUUGAUCUCAAAUCAGGUAGGACUACCCGCUGAACUUAAGCAUAUCAAUAAGCGGAGGA